rnacentral:rRNA from 1 species
GGUGUAGGCGGCCAAGCAAGUCAAAUGUGAAAUCCCUCGGCUUAACCGAGGAAGUGCAUCUGAAACUGCUUGGCUUGAGUAUGGGAGAGGAAGGCGGAAUUCCCGGUGUAGCGGUGACAUGCGUAGAUAUCGGGAGGAACACCGGUGGCGAAGGCGGCCUUCUGGCCCAAUACUGACGCUGAGACCCGAAAGCGUGGGGAGCAAACAGGAUUAGAUACCCUGGUAGUCCACGCCGUAAACGUUGGGUACUAGGUGUGGGAGGUUUAAUACCUUCUGUGCCGGAGCUAACGCAUUAAGUACCCCGCCUGGGGAGUACGGUCGCAAGAUUAAA